rnacentral:tRNA from 1 species
GUUUUUAUAGUUGAAGUACAACAGCAGUUUUUCAGAUUGAAGGUUUUGGUUUGAGUCCAAGUAGAAAUU